rnacentral:rRNA from 1 species
GACGAACGCUGGCGGCGUGCCUAAUACAGGCAAGUAGAACGCAGUUGCGAACGGGUGAGUAACGCGUAGGUAACCUGCCUCAAAGCGGGGGAUAACAAUUGGAAACGAUAGCUAAUACCGCAUACUGUGAGAUGGACCUGCGUUGUAUUAUCUAGUUGGUGAGGUAAAGGCUCCCCAAGGCGAAGAUACAUAGCCGACCUGAGAGGGUGAUCGGCCCCACUUGAACUGACACGCUGCCCAGACUCCUACGGGAGGCAGCAUUAGGGAUGCUUCGGCAAUGGCCGGAAGUCUGACCGAGCAACGCCGCGUGAGUGCAGAAGUUUUUCGGAUCGUAUAGCUCUGUUGUUAGAUCAGCGGUAGCUAACCAGAAAGGGACGGCUAACUACGUGCCAGCAGCCGCGGUAAUAC